GACGAACCGUGCGAACGUUGUUCGGAUUCACUGGGCUUAAAGGGCGCGUAGGCGGGUUACCAAGUCAGGGGUGAAAUCUUUCGGCUUAACCGGAAAAGUGCUUCUGAUACUGGUAGUCUCGAGGGAGGUAGGGGCAUGUGGAACUUCCGGUGGAGCGGUGAAAUGCGUAGAUAUCGGAAGGAACGCCGGUGGCGAAAGCGACGUGCUGGACCUCUUCUGACGCUGAGGCGCGAAAGCCAGGGGAGCGAACGGG
rnacentral:rRNA from 1 species